AGUGAACGCUGGCGGUAGGCCUAACACAUGCAAGUCGAACGGCAGCACAGUAAGAGCUUGCUCUUACGGGUGGCGAGUGGCGGACGGGUGAGGAAUACAUCGGAAUCUACUUUUUCGUGGGGGAUAACGUAGGGAAACUUACGCUAAUACCGCAUACGACCUACGGUUGAAAGCAGGGGAUCUUCGGACCUUGCGCGAUUGAAUGAGCCGAUGUCGGAUUAGCUAGUUGGCGGGGUAAAGGCCCACCAAGGCGACGAUCCGUAGCUGGUCUGAGAGGAUGAUCAGCAACACUGGAACUGAGACACGGUCAAGACUCCUACGGGAGGCAGAAGUGGGGAAUAUUGGACAAUGGGCGCAAGCCUGAUCCAGCCAUACCGCGUGGGUGAAGAAGGCCUUCGGGUUGUAAAGCCCUUUUGUUGGGAAAGAAAAGCAGCAGGUUAAUACGCCGCUGUUCUGACGGUACCCAAAGAAUAAGCACCGGCUAACUUCGUG
rnacentral:rRNA from 1 species